GGGUCAGUAGGCUGGUCGUGCCACCGGUACGUACUGGUCUCACUGAUUCCUCCUUCCUGAAGAACCGUAAUGCCAUUAAUUUGGUGUUGCGGGGAAACAGGACUGUUACUUUGAAAAAAGUAGAAUGUUUAAGGCAAGCUAACGCUUGAAUACAUUAGCAUGGAAUAAUGAAAUAGGACGAUCGAUCCUAUUUUGUUGGUUUCUAGGAUUGACGUA
rnacentral:rRNA from 1 species